rnacentral:rRNA from 1 species
UGUUACAAUGGCAGGUACAGAGGGAUGCUACCGGGCGACCGGAUGCGGAUCUCGAAAGCCUGUCCCAGUUCGGACUGGAGUCUGCAACCCGACUCCACGAAGUUGGAUUCGCUAGUAAUCGCGCAUCAGCCAUGGCGCGGUGAAUACGUUCCCGGGCCUUGUACACACCGCCCGUCAAGCCAUGGGAGCCGGGGGGCGCCUGAAGUCCGGGACCGCGAGGACCGGCCUAGGGCGAAAACUGGUAACUGGGGCUAAGUCGUAACAAGGUAAC